rnacentral:tRNA from 3 species
GCGCGAUUAGCUCAGUGGUAGAGCGCCUGCUUCACACGCAGGAAGUCGCAGGUUCGAACCCUGUAUCGCGCACCA